rnacentral:lncRNA from 1 species
AAUAAUACAAGUAAAGUAAAUGACACUACAUUCUCAUAAAUAACUAAGAUAGUAGAAGACUGACAAGAGCUUAACGAGAUGACUAGUUCACCUCAUAGCAUUCACAUCAACAUUGGAAUCAGGAUGUCGCUCACCACCUGCCAAAAAUAAAUGAUAAUUACAACAAAGAAAAGAAAAGCAGGGUAGAACCAAAAGAACUUUAAAGCAUCAAUUUUCUCAUCAUUUAUCGGUAUAUAAAUUUUUUUGGAAAUUCCAACCUGCACAAAGCAAACACCUUGAAGGCUUGAACAAGAAACAGUGCCGGCUCUAGGGGGAGGCCAAUUAAGCAAUUGCUUUAGGCCCCCCAAAUUGAAGGCCCCAAUUUUAUGACUAUUAUUUAGUAUUACAUAUAUUGUAAAAUUAUUAUUAUGAAAAAGAAACUAAAUUUAUGUUUUCUUGUAAUAUGAUAGAAGUUAUUUUGAUAAAUACUGAAUUUUCUAAUAAAAAUGUAUUAUAUAAAAAGAACAAUUUGAUGAUGUUAUUGACAAUUAAAAAGAUAAAAUAAAAGUCUCUUGUAGUAUUUUUUAAAGUUGAUAUUUCUUACAAAGAGUUGAUCAACGUUGUUUCAAUUCAAAACAGACUUGAACUAUUCGAAAUACCUAAUUAUACUAAUGCUUAACAAAGUGAUAUCAUUAUAUGAUAAAAACUUAUAAAAAUUAUCUUGACCAUGGAUGUUAAUAAUAUUGAAGCUUUGAUGAGUAGAGUUAUAAGAUACCCAGUGCAUAGUCAAAAUAAGUACAAGAUGGUCUAUACACCACCUUAACAACAAGAAGAAAAACAUGUAAAAUUUUAUUUAUAAAAAUUAAAGGCCUACCAAUUCUGUUGAGUGGCCUCUGACAAGAAAAUGCAGACGUUAGGGAGUGGUGGGACCGGGAAACACCAAAGUUAGGGAGUUCUUCACCAACCAUGGCUGGAACAUUGGGAGCUUCUCCAGGACACGGUGCCACAGAGAGCUUUAGAUGAGAUUAUGCAAAUCAAGAUCGGCCGUAAUCAAAUCCAAGAUCAAGCCAUCUGGACUCCCACCCCUCAAGGAUCCUUUACAUGCUCCUCUGCCUAUCAACUUCUCAGGAAAAUAAGAGAGAAUUCGCCUCAACUAGCCAAAAUCUGGAAUAAUCACCUACCUUUUAAAAUCUCCUUUGCAACAUGGAGACUCUUGAAAGGCAGGUUACCACUGGAUGACAUUGUUCUAAAGUUUGGUACAAACAUUAUUUCUAGAUGUUGUUGCAGGGUGCCAUUGGAUGACCAUGUUUUUGCAAAUAGCAAUACAGCAAAGAAGGUAUGGAAUACUAUGUCCACUCCACUGGGAUUCCAGACCACGGGAAGGAACACUAUAUGCCAUCCUAAAUCAAUGGUGGAGCAAACAGCCAAAAAACAAUGUCCAUAAGUUUCUACUGCAAAUUACCCCAACUAUAAUAUGCUAGGAGAUAUGGAAGGCCAGAUGUGGCAAGAAAUAUGGUAAGAAGACUAUUUCUGUUUUUAGAAUAUGUCAACAGGUUCUUUUUCAGGUUAAAGUUUCCAU